rnacentral:rRNA from 1 species
CGUGUAGGCGGCCCAAUGCGUCCGUCGCUGAAAGCCCCCGGCUCAACCGGGGAAGUGGCGUGGAUACGGUCGGGCUGGAGGGGGGUAGGGGGAUCGGGAACUUCCGGUGGAGCGGUGAAAUGCGUUGAGAUCGGAAGGAACGCCCGUGGCGAAAGCGCGGUCCUGGACCCCACCUGACGCUGAGACGCGAAAGCCAGGGGAGCGAACG